rnacentral:rRNA from 1 species
CGAUUGAACGGCUAGCGGGAUGCUUUACACAUGCAAAGUCGAACGGGCGUAGCAAUACGUCAGUGGCAGACGGGUGAGUAACGCGUGGGAACGUACCUUUUGGUUCGGAACAACACAGGGAAACUUGUGCUAAUACCGGAUAAGCCCUUACGGGGAAAGAUUUAUCGCCGAAAGAUCGGCCCGCGUCUGAUUAGCUAGUUGGUGAGGUAACGGCUCACCAAGGCGACGAUCAGUAGCUGGUCUGAGAGGAUGAUCAGCCACAUUGGGACUGAGACACGGCCCAAACUCCUACGGGAGGCAGCAGUGGGGAAUAUUGGACAAUGGGCGCAAGCCUGAUCCAGCCAUGCCGCGUGAGUGAUGAAGGCCCUAGGGUUGUAAAGCUCUUUUGUGCGGGAAGAUAAUGACGGUACCGCAAGAAUAAGCCCCGGCUAACUUCGUG